UCCUGAUUGUGUUUUUAAGGCUUGAUUCGG
rnacentral:piRNA from 1 species